GUCCGGCGCAGCCAUAUUUUGCACAGGCUCCACCCUCCGUUCCUUGUCCAGGAGUCAGGGGUCUUCUUUUCAAUGAGGAUGCCUUCAUUUCGUCUGUAAAAAGAAGACGAGCGUUGAUCUGGUAGUGAUUCCCGCCGAUCCACCGCCCAACAUUUCUGUUGAUGCUAGCCAUUAAGUGACGGAAGAUGGAGCCUCGGAGCUGGAGACUAUGGACAACACUAUCAGCUGGCAAAACCAGUAUGCGAGCCCAGAUAUCUAAAUUCUGCACUGUUUUACAUGUGUUCCUCCAGUGUCAUCGAACUGUUGUCUAGACAUAGAACAUGUGGUAGCCUGAGAUGAGAAGGGACUGUAGACAUGGAGGCUUAUGCAGAGAAGAGGCUCAGUGUGUAUCUGGUGGAUGAAUGAUCCCUUUCCGUUAGAAAUGGUGAAUUUGUUCUGUUACAAAAUCUGUGUGCCACCCCCAGCAUCCCAGUUGUCUGUGUAUUCAUCCAGCCAUGUAUCCGAUUAACAUUUGUUACACACCUACUAUGUGUCAGUGGAGAUCCCCACUGACACACCUACUAUGUGUCAAUGGAGAUCCCCACAUCAAUAGCUCUCCUAAAUAUAUUUCCUUGCCAUAUUUCAAGAUGGUUAUUCUGAGAAACGGCCCACAAAAAUAUGUGCUGAAGACGUUGUUUCCAUCAAUCUGCAUCAGCAGGAAAAAAAAAAAAAAAAAAAAAAACAGCAGGCACAGGCAGAAACUCUCUUGAAGAGUCUCUCCAUCUGCCCAGGAAAGAACCUUAGACAGGAACGUCUGGGAGCACCCUUCCCACUACCCCAGGCAGAGGUGACCACAGGUGGCUGCUUUUCGAAGGGCAGGCUCUGAUCGAUCCCAAGGCAGCUUCAUGCUGAACUUGUUUGGCUUAGGUCUUCACCUCCCUUCAUCCAGGAAAGCCUCAUACCCUAGUCCUUUGUGUAACACAAAAUGUUUAAUAAAUGUCAACCAACUGACCUUUCCCUUAUGACUUACACUUCUUGGCUCUUUUUGCUUGUAUACGGUGUGUGUGUGUGUGUCUGAGAACUGAACCCAGGUACUAACCAACAACAGAUUUUGCUUGCUUUUUCCUCUCAUUGAGUGC
rnacentral:lncRNA from 1 species